CCGCGGUACCCUGACCGUGCAAAGGUAGCAUAAUCAUUUGCCUUUUAAUUGGAGGCUAGUAUGAAAGGACACACAAGAAUAAAGCUGUCUCACUUGAAUUUUUAAUAAACUGAUAUUUAGGUGAAGAAGCCUGAAUUAUUAUAAAGGACAAGAAGACCCUAUAGAGCUUUACUAAUAACAGACAUAAAUAAACUUAAUUAUUAGUUUGGUUGGGGCAACCAAAAGAUAAAUAAACCUCUUAAUUACUUAACCAUACACACACCCAAUAAUGUCUUAGAAUAUAGCUACCUUAGGGAUAACAGGUUAAUCCUACUAAAGAGAUCACAUUGACAGUAGGGGUUGACACCUCGAUGUUGGCUUAGUGUAACUAUUAGGCCGCAGCAGUUUUAUAAAGUUGGUUUGUUCAACCAUUAAAUCACU
rnacentral:rRNA from 1 species